rnacentral:rRNA from 1 species
AACGAACGCUGGCGGCGUGCCUAACACAUGCAAGUCGAACGGGAUUCGGAGCUUGCUCCGAUGAGAGUGGCGCACGGGUGAGUAACGCGUAGAUAAUCUGCCUGAUGAUCUGGGAUAACAGUUCGAAAGGACUGCUAAUACCGGAUAAGCCCACGGAGACCUUGGUCUUUGCGGGAAAAGGGGGGGACCUUCGGGCCUUCCGUCAUCAGAUGAGUCUGCGUACCAUUAGCUAGUUGGUAGGGUAAAGGCCUACCAAGGCGACGGUGGUUAGCUGGUCUGAGAGGAUGAUCAGCCACACUGGAACUGAGACACGGUCCAGACUCCUACGGGAGGCAGCAGUGGGGAAUUGUGCGCAAUGGGGGAAACCCUGACGCAGCAACGCCGCGUGAGUGAUGAAGGCUCUUGGGUCGUAAAGCUCUGACAGAGGGAAAGAAGUGUAUGGUGGUUAAUACCCAUUGUACUUGACGGUACCCUCAAAGGAAGCACCGGCUAACUCCGUGCCAGCCGCCGCCGUAACAC